rnacentral:lncRNA from 1 species
GACCCCACGGUGGGUCUCUCUACCGCCGCAUCUCAGAGUACCAGAGCCUUGAAGUCUAUGGUAAGGAGACCCUAUUGGCUGAGAGGGUUAGAAGUAGCACUUCUUGGCAACGUGGGGAAAGAAAACCCACGAGGCCCACUCUUAGGCGGUGGUCUGAUGUGCGCAUAUAAUCCUGAGGGCUCCCUCUUAUACCCUGAUUCCCUGGCUCUCUCUCCAAGUUCCAAGCUGAACCCUAACUUUUCCAGAAGCCAGAAGAACUCAACCAGCUGGCUUGGCCAUUAUUGAGCUGUGUGGCCCCUCUCUCUAGUUAUGGCUUCUUUCUACAAUGAGAAGGCUGGCUAGCCUGAUCCACGGGCUCCCCUGAGCACUGCUGUUCUGCGACUCUUGAGAGCCAAAGCCUGUCGUCAGUGAGCUCACCUGAAGCUUACUCAGCUACGCCCAAGAAAGGCAUGGUCUAAACCUGACCAUGACAUCCUUCAGGCCGUGGUACCCCGCCACCAUAUACUGGUGUCAGGGGCUGCUGGAAGAGAAGGGUGUCUGCUCUGCCCAAUGGCCUAGAGCAUAGGCCGCCUUCCUCUUAGAUGUCACUCUCACCUUAGGUCACUACUCUCUGCUACUGGGCUGACUGUGGAAUGUAUGAGUGCGCAGGGAGUGGUGGGCAGACUCCCGGGGCUCCUGGCAUCUGACGAUCUCUGAGACUGCUGCCUCUUGCUUCCCCAGAAAUAAGGCAAGACAACCAGAUGGUCAUCAUCAUUGUAGUGGUGUCAAUACUUCUGUUCUUAUUCGUGACAUCCGUCCUGCUUUGCUUUAUCCUCGGCCAGCACUGGCACAGGAGGCGGACAGGUACCUACGGGGUGCUAGCUGCCUGGAGGAGGCUCCCCCGAGCCCUCCGGGGACGCUGACAGGCGCCUGGGAGUUCCCAGAACUCAACAUGGCGCCUUCAAGGUGUGGUUCAGCGCUGGCUGAAGGACUGUGGCAGCAGCAGAAGAUUUGGGGGACAUUUCCUUUUUUAGCCUCAAUACAAAUACCUGGAUUUCA